CCCGCUCAGAAACUUAAAUGAAUUGACGGGGGCCCGCACAAGCGGUGGAGCAUGUGGUUUAAUUCGAUGAUACGCGAGGAACCUUACCUGGGCUCAAAUGUAUGUUGACGUAUUCUGAAAGGGAUACUUCUUCGGACAAUAUACAAGGUGCUGCAUGGUUGUCGUCAGCUCGUGCCGUGAGGUGUCGGGUUAAGUCCCAUAACGAGCGCAACCCCUAUCAUUAGUUGCCAUCAGGUCAAGCUGGGGACUCUAAUGAAACUGCCUACGCAAGUAGUGAGGAAGGUGGGGAUGACGUCAAAUCAGCACGGCCCUUACGUCCAGGGCUACACACGUGCUACAAUGGCCGGUACAAAGGGCAGCUACCUGGUGACAGGAUGCUAAUCUCAAAAGCCGGUCUCAGUUCGGAUCGGAGUCUGCAACCCGACUCCGUGAAGUUGGAUUCGCUAGUAAUCGCGCAUCAGCCAUGGCGCGGUGAAUACGUUCCCGGGCCUU
rnacentral:rRNA from 1 species